rnacentral:rRNA from 1 species
UACAGAGGUCUCAAGCGUUGUUCGGAUUCAUCGGGCGUAAAGGGUGCGUAGGCGGCGCGGUAAGUCGGGUGUGAAAUCUUGGAGCUUAACUCCGAAACUGCAUUCGAUACUGCCGUGCUUGAGGACUGGAGAGGAGACUGGAAUUUACGGUGUAGCGGUGAAAUGCGUAGAUAUCGUAAGGAAGACCAGUGGCGAAGGCGGGUCUCUGGACAGUUCCUGACGCUGAGGCACGAAGGCCAGGGGAGCAAACGGG